rnacentral:rRNA from 1 species
CAGCAGCCGCGGUAAUACGAAGGGGGCUAGCGUUGUUCGGAAUUAUUGGGCGUAAAGGGCGCGUAGGCGGUUUGACAAGUCUUGUGUGAAAUCUCUGGGCUCAACCCAGAGUCUGCACGGGAAACUGUCGGGCUAGAGGAUGGGAGAGGUGAGUGGAAUUUCCGGUGUAGCGGUGAAAUGCGUAGAUAUCGGAAGGAACACCUGUGGCGAAAGCGGCUCACUGGACCAUAUCUGACGCUGAGGCGCGAAAGCUAGGGGAGCAAACAGGAUUAGAUACCCCCGUAGUCCCUGUCUCUUAUAC